AGCACAGCAGCUUGUGAUGGGCGAUUACCAUCAUCCUUCCCCACACAAUGGGACACCAGCCUGCUGAAAUCCCAUUUCACAGAGGCACACCACUGAGGCUGGAAGGACAAGUCACCAGCCUGGGCUUCUCAAACUGAGCCCUUCACCCAACAGUGGACUUCAAGGCUGAAGAAAGAGCAGCAGAAUGAGGUGAGGGGUCCGGAACACUUACCCAGGUAGGACAGAUGGAUUUGCUCUGGUGUAACAUGAGGAUACUCUUGGGCUCCCUGGACUCCCGGGGAGAAAGGCAGGAGCAUGCAGAAGAAGAGCCAGCCUCCAAGAAAGGGGCUCAUGGUAGGAAGAAAGGGGAUGGUGGGAAGCCGAGUGGAAUGCAGGGAUGUGAUCAAAUUCCGCUGGUGGGUCCCACAGAGGAUGGAGAAUGGACCGAUGCCAGGCAGAGCCGUGUGUCCGUCUGUCAGGAUGUCUGUGGGGGAGGAAGACUGAAUGACUGAAACGUCUCUGAGGGGAGUGGUGAAGGAGAUGCUGGUGAGAGAAUAAUUAAUGAGGUUUCUGAGCCUCGCUGCUCAGCACUUUGCAUAGAUUAAUGGCAGGAGGCCUCACAGCAUUCCUAUGAGGUGGUGGCGACAGACAUCACCAACCCAGUCACAUAUAGGAAACUGAGCAACCGAGUGACUCAGUGGCAAGGCUAGGAUGAGAUGCAGCUGAGUUUGAACCCUUCCGGCCCAGGCUCCUGAUCCUGGGAGGGGGCUAGGAGGCUGGGGGGCGGGGAUGCCUUUGACAACGCCAUCCCCAACAUCUCUGUCUUCUCUUAGCGACCUAUUCUCCAGAUUCUUAGCAUCCCACUGUACCCUCAGCCUCUCUAAUUCAUCCUCAGAUUUCCACUUAUUCCUCCGGACCCGAUAACUCCAACUCUACUCCCAGAUUUCUCAUUAGCUCCACCUGCCUGGAGCGGCUUCUUCUCAUUCCCCUCCCCAACAUCCCAUCUUGCCUUCAGAUCUCUCUCCUCCCCGGGCUCCAUCCUCAUCCCAGCUGCCUCUCCAGCCCUGAACCUGCAUUGCCUGAACCCCGGUUUCUCCUCAGCUCCCAGGCCAGCUGAGGUUCUGAAGUUCGGUCCACCUGCCCUCGGGACCUGGACAGGUGCCUCGGGUCUGAAAGAACCGUCCACCGAAGGUCGAGAGCUGGGACGUGGGGUGGGGGGCGCAAUCGGGAAGGGGACGCCGGCUCACCCUCAGGGGCGCGCCAGCCGCCCUCACGGUCCUCUCGGCCACCGAUGCGCUGCAGUAUUUAUGAGCUUGCAGGGACACAGGCUCCCGCCGCCCACAGGUGUCCCAGCCCCGGAAGAGCCGGCUGCUUCAGGUGACGGGCUCCCCAGACAGCCCGAGCCCCGUGUCCCACAGGUCCGGCCGGUCCCUGGCGCCCCACGCCCACCCUCACGCCCCCCUCAGGGUGGGGCGCAGAAAGAGGGGACCCAGAAAAGCAUGGGACGCCGCCACCUCCGAGCCAGACAGCAGGUUAGCGCCGGGACAGUGUUGGGAGCCAUUAAGGCAACGCUAUUGUCCUGAUCUCUGAAUUGGGCCUCUCCCCCCAAGAAGAAAAGAGGGUCAAAAGCGGGCCACCGGACGCACCGCUCAGAGAAAGUCAGCGCCGGAUGUCCUGACCUCAAGAUACCCUGAUACCGCCAAGUUCUUGCUUCCCCGUGUAACUGCCUAAGAAUGUGCAAUUCUAUUGCCCCCCUCCCACUGAUAAAUACUUCACCUUUUGCUUGUAUUGCCCCAUCCCUCCCGCUGAUAAGUAUCUGUACUUCCCUGUUUCCUUGUGCAAUUCUACUGCCCCAUCCUUCCUGCUGAAAGGCACUUCCCCUUUUGCUUGUGUAUUUAAACCUUGGGCCUGGCUAAUACAUUUUGGGGUCUUGAUACAACUUCAGAACGGUUUCCGUGUCGUUAUUCGUACAAGACCCUCGUCUCUCUCUACCCCCCAUUUGGUUAUUAGGAGGAGGUCCCCUCGAGAUCCUCGAAUAACUGGACCUGCUGGACGGGUCACUUUAGGAUGGGGUUUCCUGUAGCCCAUGAUGGCCUUCAGUUACAGAGCUAGAGCAAUGGAUGAACUUAGCUUCUGCCACCAAGGUACUGGGUUUGCAGCUUUAUACCGAGAGGGCAGCCUCUCAGGAGGUGAGCUGUCCAGUUUGAGAGGUUGACACACUCAUCCUCCUUUAAACGCAUCUGAGAGUCUCAAUAGUAUUUAUUGACAGCGGAUGGCUUAAGG
rnacentral:lncRNA from 1 species